AGUCAGUGGAAGUAUUUUAGUUGCCUUCAAUGGGCUUUGAAUCAGGCCCAAAAUAUCUUCAGGCCAAAUUCAACUCUUCUUAACAGCAGUGAGGUUUACAAGUGUAACUGAGGACAGAACUUGUCCUUUAUUGUUUUUCUUAAUUUGCUAGUUAACUCUUCUCCCUUGAUAUCAGCUCUUUGUUUGACAGUGACAGGGGGCAUGCGAGCGAUUUAUGGAGAUGAAGUAAAAGGUUUUGAAAAUGUGCAGAAUGUAUUCAAGACUUAUCCCUCAGUCUCACUAAAAUCAAGCUUAAUGGCAGAGAAGUUACACAUGUGAUCUGGACUUACAUCUCCUACCCAAACUGAGGUCCACUUUUAUACGGAGUCACUACUCAACCUCCAAAUCUCAUUACUGGAUCAGAUAAAAACUACAAACUCACACCACGUUCUGAGUUACUGGAAUGGAACUAGAACUAUUCAAAGAUUCUUUUUUAGAAGGCAGCAUAUACAAUGGCACAAAGAGAUCAUGAAAUCAAUACAUAAAAGCUGUACACAGAUUGACCAAAGGCAAGACUUUAUUUUGAAAUAAAUAUGGUGCAGCGUCUGUCAUGAUACACUACGCUGAGCCUGUUUCUUCAUGAGCUACAGCAUGGGUGCAAUGUGUUUGCUGAGAUUUCUACCAUCACAAAUACAGUCACUAAAGCCAACUAUUAAAAAACAAGGGAGGAAUUGUGGAAUGGCAAAGGCUAGAAAUGCUGCAGCAGCAGAAGACCCAACACACCUGCAGUGGAGGUGGGAAUGGUUCCCAAUGCUUAACUGCAAAAUUUCUGCCCAUAAAGAAUGAUGUUCAUGGGGUCUUUCAUGUAAGGUGCGGGAA